UACGUAGGGGGCAAGCGUUGUCCGGAAUCAUUGGGCGUAAAGAGCGUGUAGGCGGCCUUAUAAGUCGGCUGUGAAAGUCAAGGGCUCAACCCUUGAAUGCCGGCCGAUACUGUGAGGCUAGAGUCCGGAAGAGGCGAGUGGAAUUCCCGGUGUAGCGGUGAAAUGCGUAGAGAUCGGGAGGAACACCAAAGGCGAAAGCACUCUGCUGGGCCGCGACUGACACUGAGAGACGAAAGCGAGGGGAGCAAAUGGG
rnacentral:rRNA from 1 species